rnacentral:rRNA from 1 species
ACGGGAGGCAGCAGUGGGGAAUAUUGCACAAUGGGGGAAACCCUGAUGCAGCGACGCCGCGUGAGUGAAGAAGUAUUUCGGUAUGUAAAGCUCUAUCAGCAGGAAAGAAAAUGACGGUACCUGACUAAGAAGCCCCGGCUAACUACCUGCCAGCAGCCGCGGUAAUACGUAGGGGGCAAGCGUUAUCCGGAUUUACUGGGUGUAAAGGGAGCGUAGACGGUUUUGCAAGUCUGAAGUGAAAGCCUGGGGCUCAACCCCGGAACUGCUUUGGAAACUGUUUGACUUGAGUGCUGGAGAGGUAAGCGGAAUUCCUAGUGUAGCGGUGAAAUGCGUAGAUAUUAGGAAGAACACCGGUGGCGAAGGCGGCUUACUGGACAGUAACUGACGUUGAGGCUCGAAAGCGUGGGGAGCAAACAGGAUUAGAUACCCUGGUA